ensembl:snRNA U6 U6 spliceosomal RNA
GUGCUUGCUGCGGCAGGACAUACACUAAAAUUGAAAGGAUACAGACAAGACUAGCAUGGCCCCUACGCAAGGAUGACAUGCGAAUUUGUCAAGUGUUCCAUAUUUUU